rnacentral:rRNA from 1 species
UUUCUGCCCUAUCAACUUGUUGGUAAGGUAUUGGCUUACCAAGGUUGCAACGGGUAACGGGGAAUCAGGGUUCGAUUCCGGAGAGGGAGCCUGAGAAACGGCUACCACAUCCAAGGAAGGCAACAGGCGCGCAAAUUACCCAAUCUAGACAGUAGGAGGUGGCGAAGAGAAUUACUAAGUGGUGACUCUAUGAGUUACCAGCUUGGAAUGAACGUAACUUAAGAAAUUCGAUGAGAAACAACUGGAGGGCAAGUCCUGGUGCCAGCAGCCGCGGUAAUUCCAGCUCCAGUAGUCUGAUUUAAAGUUGUUGCGUUUAAAACGCUCGUAGUUGGAUCACGAAGCAGUACCGAGCCUUCGACUUGCAGACUUUCUAGGAAGGUGUUCGUUUCGUGCGACCCUGAUUAGGAACGAUGCGGUUGAAAUUCAUGCUCAGUGCUGCUAGUUGCACGUGAGAUGGAGUGUUGGCCUUAAAUGAGCCGGUAUUCCCGUCUUGCGGAGUGUGCCUUGAAUAAAACAGAGUGCUUAAAGCAGGUUUUUGCCUGAAUGUUAUAGCAUGGAACGAACAAUCGUGUAUAUGCACGCAUUUUCGAAGACGGUAGGUUUUUGACCUGCCGUAUUAGGAUUUGCGCGCGGCACCCACCAAAAUAUGGCUGUUGGUUCCAUAUACGGUGAUGAUUAAAAGGAGCGGUUGGAGGCAUCGGUAUUUGGCCGCGAGAGGUGAAAUUCUUAGACCGGCCAAGGACUAACAAAUGCAAAGGCACUUGUCUAGACCGUUUCCAUUAAUCAAGAACGAAAGUGGGAGGUUCGAAGACGAUCAGAUACCGUCCUAGUUCCCACUGUAAACUAUGCCGACCUGGGAUCAGUCUAGAGAUGUUGCAAGCUCUAGAUUGGUCCCCCUGGGAAACCUUAAGUUUUUCGGUUACGGGGAGAGUAUGGUCGCAAGGCUGAAACUUAAAGGAAUUGACGGAAGGGCACCACCAGGGGUGGAGCCUGCGGCUUAAUUUGACUCAACACGGGGAAACUUACCUGGUCCGGACAUCUAUGGGAUAAACAGACUAAUAGAUCUUUUUUGAUGAGAUGAGUGGUGGUGCAUGGCCGUUCUUAGUUCGUGGAGUGAUCUGUCAGCCUAAUUGCGGUAACGAACGAGACC